rnacentral:tRNA from 1 species
UCCCUGGUGGUCCAGUGGCUGAGACACUACACUCCCAAUCCAGGAAGCCCAGGUUCAAUCCCUGGUCAGGGAA